CUUCGGGGUUUAACCCGCGCACGUAUGCGUAACGCGUGGGAAUCUGCCCUUGGUUCGGCAAUAACAGCUGGAAACGGCUGCUAAUACCGGAUGGAUGACGAAAGUCCAAAGAUUUAUCGCCACGAGAGAUGAGCCCGCGUUGCGAUUACGUACGUUCGUGGGGUAAAGGCCUACCAAGCCGACGAUCCAGUAGACUGUCUGAGAGGAUGAUCACGCCACACUGGGACUCGAGACACGGCUCCAACUCCUACGGGAGGCAGUCGAUGUNGGGACAUACUUGGGACAAGUGGGACGAAGAGCCUGAAUCCANCAACUGCCGCGUGCAGCUGAGUGAAGGCCCCUAGGGGGUUGUNAUAGCUCGUUUUACCCGGGAAGUAAUUAGUGUACUGUACCGGGAGGAAAUAAGGCCCCGGUCGUAACUCCGUUGACCAGCCAGCCGCUGGUGAAUACGGAGCGGGGCUAGCGUNUUGUUCGGAACUUACUGUGGCGUACCCGCGCACGGUAGGCGGNCUCUAUGUACGUCAGAGGUGCACAAGCCUGGAGCUCCAACUCCNGAAGUGCCUUUNAUACUUGCAUCGCUUUGAAUCCAGGCAUCAGGUCAGUGGAAUNCCGGACGCUGUACGAAGGUCCAAAAUUCGUAAUAUNCCGGAAGAACACCUACCUCGCGCGAAGGCUGNUGACUUGGACCUGGUAUUGACCGCUUCCAGGUCCCNCAAAGCGUCGCGGGAAGCAAACAGGAUUUAGNUUCCCUGGGUANUCCACGCCGGUGGUCGNCUAUUCCCUUAUGCNNUCCCGGCGCCUUUGUGGCUUGUGGUGGCGCAGUCUCACGCCAUUAAGGUUCUCCGUCUGGGGAGGUUCGUGCCGCCAAGGUUNUAACUAAUAACUUGAAGGGG
rnacentral:rRNA from 1 species